CAUGGGCCAACCUUCGCUCCCCACGUGCAUCAAUGAGCCUUGGCGGCCUCUGACCUUGUCGCCGGUUCACUGGUUUUCCUUCCUUGGACCACUUUUGGUAGGUCCUGACCACUGCAGACCGGGAACAUCCCACAAGAGCUGCAGUUCUGGAGAUGAUCUGACCCGGUCGUCUAGCCA